UACGUAGGUGACAAGCGUUGUCCGGAUUUACUGGGCGUAAAGAGCGCGCAGGCGGUCGUUCAAGUCGAGUGUGAAAGCCCCCGGCUCAACUGGGGAGGGUCAUUCGAUACUGAUCGACUCGAAGGCAGGAGAGGGUAGUGGAAUUCCCGGUGUAGCGGUGAAAUGCGUAGAGAUCGGGAGGAACACCCGUGGCGAAGGCGGCCAUCUGGACCAGCACUGACGCUGAGGCACGAAAGCGUGGGGAGCAAACAGG
rnacentral:rRNA from 1 species